rnacentral:rRNA from 1 species
GUAGGUGGCAAGCGUUGUCCGGAAUUAUUGGGCGUAAAGCGCGCGCAGGCGGUCCUUUAAGUCUGAUGUGAAAGCCCACGGCUCAACCGUGGAGGGUCAUUGGAAACUGGGGGACUUGAGUACAGAAGAGGAAAGCGGAAUUCCAAGUGUAGCGGUGAAAUGCGUAGAGAUUUGGAGGAACACCAGUGGCGAAGGCGGCUUUCUGGUCUGCAACUGACGCUGAGGCGCGAAAGCGUGGGGAGCAAACAGGAUUAGAUACCCUGGUAGUCCACGCCGUAAACGAUGAGUGCUAAGUGUUAGGGGGUUUCCGCCCCCCUUAGUGCUGCAGCUAACGCAUUAAGCACUCCGCCCUGGGAGUACGGCCGCAAGGCUG